CAAGAACAGUCUUUGUUUCACAGAUCAGUUUGAAACAGCCAACUUGUUCAUCCAAGUGGGAGUUUUAUUUUCCAUCUGAAUAUCUGAAACUUCAUUCGAUUUAAAACAGCAACAACAAUUUACUAUUCUUUCAAGAUACGGGUGUCAAACCUGUGAUAUCAUGUGACGUGUUGCGAUGUAUCAUGACUUUUUCCUCAUUGCCGGCAAUGGGAUGGGCACGAUUUUGGCGUGACGCAUCCAGCCCAUGGGCCAGCAGUUUGACACCCCAGUUUCAAGAGCUUCUUCAUCAAUGAUCAACAGUAUCAGAAGAGCAGGUGUGACCAGGCAAAGCCCCAAUUCUUUUCACGUGCAUCACAUAUAUAUCAAACACAUAUAAAAGAGUCUUUUUAGUUUUCAGAGAGUUAUCCUGCUGCUGGACAGACAGAGAGAUGGAUAGUUGGAGUACCAAUAAUCCUGCUGAGAAAGUCAAAAGGACUGAGGAGGAAGACCACUGUUGUUUAAGAUCACUGAAGGGACAUUAGAUGUGCCAGAUAUGAGAAGUCCUCUGUGUUGAGUGGUGGGAAGCUCAGGCAACCUAAAUGUUGCAUUGUUACUGUUGUCAUAUUGGUAGGGAAUA